rnacentral:lncRNA from 1 species
AUUUUAAAUUUUUUUUAAAAUUUAUAUUUAAAAUUUUGGCUUAUUAUUUUGAAAAUUUGAUGUAACUUUCUAAUAUUUAAGUUUUAAUUUGAAUUUAAAUUACAAAUUUAAUUCUAUGUUUUGAACUGCGAACUCAAAUUUUAAAUUUAAUUUUAUAUUUUAUAUUUUAAAUUAAUUUUAUUUUAAUUUUUUUAAUAAUUAAAUUUUUUUCAUAUCAAUCAAACGUAGUAGAUAAUUUUAUCAAUUAUUCUGAUUCCGAUUAUUCUUCUAAACCAAACAUACUAGAUAAUUUUAUCAUUUGUUGUUUGAUUCCGGUCUAUUUCGAUUCCCAUUCCAAUUCCAAUUUCUAUUUUGAAUCAAAUGUUCGCUAAAUCUAUUUUAUUUCUUUAUAUUAAUAAUCUUAUUUACUUUAUAUAUUUUAAUUUACCCUAAAAUAUAGAACACCAUCCUAUAAAUAUAUAUAUUUUUAUUAUUUUUUCCCUUACUUUUAGAAAUGAAUAUUUUACCCCCUUAAAAUUUCACAAAUAUUUUUAAAGAGUUACGGUGUUAAUGGGCGAGAAAUGACCAAAUUACCCUUGUUCUAUGGAGAAGAAAAUAACUUUUAAUGUACUCCUCUCAUUUUCAUGAAUAUUUUCAAUAUAUUGAAUUAUAAAUUAUACAAAAUGAACGGAAUAGUGGCAAAGGGGGCUACGUGCAUCAACUUAAAAUUUUGAGAGAAUAAAAAAUAAAUUUUAAAAGUCAGGACGAAAAAUGAAAAAGUGGAUAUUAAUUUAUAGAAAAAUUUUCUGUAAUUUACCCUUUAAUUUAUAUAUAAAUUGAAGAUAGGAUCAACUAAGUU